rnacentral:lncRNA from 1 species
AGCUGAGCUGCACGGUGCCAGAUGGACAGAUGUAGUUUAUUCAGGAAUCUCUCCAGAGAGCGCCAGCCUAAAAAUUGCUACUGGGGCUCAGGAGAGGUCUGUCCAGGCUGGAGGCCACCGGCCUGAGGCCUGCACAUGUCACAGUUACCACCCGGGGUUCUCAUGGUGUAGAGAAGCAAUGGGAGCCAAGGCCUGGCUCCUACCCCUCAGCAGAAUCCCCACAUAGCCCUCGGAGUCAGCCAGCACCUGUUAGCAAUACCCUGGGGAUCCUGUUGAUGGAGGUGAAACUGAGCAGGGUCCUGCGGGGCUCCUGGGCCCAAAAGCCUCUCUGUGUCCCCCAUUUCUUGUUUUUAGGAAAUGGGCCUCAUUCAGCCUCCAUGGCCUUCCCUGAGUUCCAAGGGGUAAGUUCAGACAGUUGCUGAUCAGGGAAGGGAUGGGAGAUAAACAAGGGAGGAACAGUCGAGAAACAAUAGCGCAGCCUUGGGGCAGGAUCCUGGGUCCCUCCCAAGGGAGACACAUCAUAACGGAGGCAUCUUAUACACCUGAGAGAAAAGCUAUAUUCCUUAUGCUUCUUGAAGAAAUGAAUACUUUAAAACUGAACAGCUUAGUGUCCUUCCCUGUCCUUCUCCCAGGCUUAAUUACACCCUCAACACAAUCACCCAUAAACUAAAGAUUAGGUGCCCUGAGCACAACUGCCUGUGGGUUAAAGAUUAUUAGCACGUGAUGUUUUUCAGGAACUUUUCUAGUUGUUCUCAUCUCUGAUCUAUAUGCCCUUUUCGCAAGUACUGUUAUUCUAGGUAAUAACCCAGAAGACCGCCACCAUGAUUGUACAGAGAUCUCCUGACUCCAGCUUCGAUAACUAAGAUUCCCCUAAAGAAAGAAUGCAGGUUUGUCCCAGUCCUGAUUCCUAUCUGAAAACCUGUUUUUCUCCUUUUUACUAUAAAAUUCCUCUCAAUUCUUUCCAAUGGGAGGAGCAGUCUUUAGGGCAUUUGCCUGCUGUGACCCUCCUUUGCCUGGCAAAGCAAUAAAGCUAUUUUUUUUUCUCCUUCACCCAAAACUCUGUCUCUGCCUUUCAAUUCUGCACCAGCAGACAGAGGCCAAAUUCCAGCAACAGAGGGACUCUCUGGGGAACGUCAACACCUGCAGACAUGACCACACAACUACUCUACGUUGAUUUUUUUUUAAUUCCCCUUUACCAUUUUUAACAUUGUAAAGGUUAUUUUUCAACCUAAUUAAAGAUAGGGAAUUAAACUGCUUUUUAACACUCUACUUUAGGUUCAUCCUAUGCAUAUAACAUACAUAGCCUUUAAGGUAAAUACGGUCCCCGUUCUAGAGAGGAGGAAGAUGAGACUCUGAAAAGGUGACGGACUUACUCAUCACACAGUUUUUAGGCAGUGUAACCAGAGUCACCUCUCAGAUUGUUCUGUGUCCUCGGCCAAAGGUCUUCCUUCUGUGCUACACUCCUUGGGACUCGCUGAGACAAUGGAAUCAGGAAUUUAGGGACAAAUGGAGAUGUCUUUCUGGGGACUGCUUUCAGGUGUGUGAUGACGCCCUGGUGGAGAGAAGGGGUAGGGGGAGAGAGCCAGAGAAGGGAGUGCAGGGAAGAGGAGGGGAGGGGAAUUUAACGUUGAUUUCCACUCCUCCAGGGAGACCUUAUUAAUGUAGAACUUGUUUCAUCGCUAGAAAUAUGUGUAGCUUCAGUCAAAGGAGCUAGAAUUUACACAUGUGUUGAGCACUCAUUUCAUGAUUUUAGAGUGAUGUUUGUCAAACUAAGGGUUUUGGGUAUCGCUUUCCCUCCUUCUCUGCCAUGGACCAUUGUUGCCAUUUCUGAUCUGAUGGCCAUCUGUGCCACAGAGACAGGAAAUCCCUGAGGCAUCAGAAAAGUCCACGCCAGGGGGCUACUUAUGGCCUUGAGAGUUGUGCCCUGGUGGAGAAGGCUGGGAGAGGCAGAGAGGGAUGGCUUAAGACAACAGAAAGAGGCAUUCAAUUUAUUUUCUGCUACAGAAAUCACAUUCUGUUUUCCCAAACCCUUAGCUGUGAAAAAGCCUACUAUUCUUCCAUCUUUCCUCAGAACCCAUGUCUUCUUUUCAGGUAGAAUCCUGAUUUUUUUUUUUUUUUUUUUUUAUGAACAAUCCAACUGGGGAAAUAUUUUGUGAAAAACACUGAGAAAGACGAUCUCUAAUUGCUCCUUAUACGGUAGAGCUUCUGGGGGCCCAUCUUAGAAAUAUCAAAUUAUAAAGGGUAGACCUUUUGAUUACUGAAGUAUAAUAAUUAAAUUACACAGAAAUUUCCUGAGCUGUAAGGUUGAAAGGAACAAAAUAACUGGUAAUUGGUCUCAACCAGAGUAAAUAACGUCCGUCUUUUUAUUUACAUUUGGUUUUCCUAUAAACUGCCUACUGGGUUGUGUGGAACUAAGAGGCUAGCAAAAAACUGAAUCCCCAUCCAUCAGUAUUAAUCUCACACUUUACUGUGGCUCCAUCCAUUUAUCUUUCCGACACAAAUUAGAAAUUCAAGAGUUUUAACAAAUGAGCCUGCAAAUGUAAACUUAUUAGGCCAUAUAUUUUUACUACACACUGUGCAGUGCCCUCCACAAAGCUGUCCCUUCAGAGAGCAUUUUCCUAUUUUGUGUUAUUGAUGGCAGCUAACUAAUCACAUUUUUAAUGUUGUCUUUGGGGAGGGCUGUUUGAGUGAAUGUGCAAGCUAAACUACCCAGAAUAAAUCUACCUUAUUAAAUGCUUGAAAUUAUGUGUCUUUUACGAUAAAGAAACUCCCGAGCAUUGUUACAUUUGCGAACCCUCUUUCUGCAGGAAUCAAAAGACUGGGAUUAAUUAAAAUAAUACAUCAAAACUGGGGUGUUGUACAGAAUGUGUCUAUGUGUGAGGAAAGGCCAAGAAAAAUUGGUUAAUUGGUCUCUUCAUCCCUAUUCACUCCCCUCCAUCUAAAUAGCUUUAAGUGUUGCUUUCUGAACUGAAACGACAACAGCAGGAGAAGACCCUGCCUGCUUGUAGACAAUGGCUAGUCCCCACCACCAGGAAAUUUGUUCUAGUUUACAUGGGGCCUCUCUGAUGAACAAAAAACUCUAGAAAAUUUUGUCUCUAGACCCAGGUGCUUUACAACAUAGAGAAAGUACAAAUAUAUUAACAGCCCAGCAUCGUAGUUCAUAUCAACAAAGAUGCACUGAUUUAACGCCUCUGAUCGGCCUCAUGUUUCCCAAGUAUCAAAAGAACACAUCUGGCAGGUCAACACUUCUUUCCUCAAAGCCUAGGCCCUCCUUUCCUUGAGGUGGUGAAUCCAAUGGUGAGCCUCCCUCAGACCUGUGUACAAUCAUUUCACUCUUCUGAGGUGGUUUCUCAACGGCACAAGUGGUACAAAUUUGGCAGCUGCAUCAAUACAUAUACUUUAAGACCUCAGAUGUAACAGGAUUAUACCUGAAAGAAGGAAAAAAUGAUUGCAAAGUGAGAGGUGAUAAAAGAACUCGAUUUUUGGCAAAUUAUUUUCCAAUUACUUGACUGUCCCAUUUGAGAUGUGCGGCUUUUGUGAAACUGACAGUUAAACGCAAUAAGCAUAUGCUUUUCAUAGAAAUUAAAGUCACAAGCAUUUUAAGCAUUUGUAAUAGAUGGUUUUAGUGUUCCCCUGCAAUCAGAGUUCUUCUCUAUUACUUAGCUUGGAGGAGAAACAUAAACUUGAUUAGUACUUAACUGGAGUGUAAUGGCUGAUAAAUUGGCCUUAAUGUUUCAAAACUAGACAACCAUGCUAAGGUUGCCUAAAAUUUAUUUCUUGACGACACAGAUACAUUCAUUUUUCUCACUUAGUCACAGGAAUCAACCAUUUAAGAAUGCACUGGCUCUCCUGAACCGUAUUUCUUAUUUAUCUUGGAUUACUUAGAGGGAAGCGUUAGCUGUUAUCUCUAGCAAAGCAGCACUCCAAAGAGAGGUAAGGCUGAUGAAUUAAAAAGAAAGUCAUGGUUGGCGGAGGUGAUACUGAGUGGAAGCGCCUUCUGCUUUAGAAUUGGUUUGAAAAAUGCGAGGUAUUUACUUAGUCACUCAGCAAAUAUUUAUUGAGCACCUUCUAGGAGCCAGAACCUCUGUCAGGUGUCAGAAAGACAAGGUUAACCAACAUCUCCUAUCCUCGGUGAUGGAGCUGGUGAAGAAAUCAGCCAUGGCAGCAGGUAAUUUUAUAUGAUAAGGGCUUUACCGAAACAUAAAGUUUGGGAGCUCAAAGAGCCACUUAAAAAAGUUCUGACUCUCAAAAUUGUUCUUGUGACAAUGCUUAGAAUCUAAAUUACACUUGCCUUCAUUGCAUUCACAUGGGGAGAAAAACUCCAUUUUGCUGUUAACGUAAUUGAAGCAAUAUUCACAUAUUGUACACAAGGUACAUUGUUACCUUCACUGUGAAACAGGUAAAACUCCACAUCACAAAAGAGCUUCUAAAAAGUUGGGUUUACACAGAAUUAAAUAAAUAUUCAUUCCGAUUAGCCCAUCUAAGGAAUGUUUACCCUUAAAGAUCACCCUGCAAUUAAUCCUUUGCAAAGAACACUUUUGCAGUUCCAGACAUCCCCAUAUUUAUUUGCAGUAUAAGCCUGGAUUUUCAUAUAUUAGGUUUGAAUCACAACAAUCUUAGCGAUAGGUCCCCAGGCACCAUAAUGUAUUGUCUUCCAUGACACUGCCUGUGCUUGCAAGGAACAGGACAAAAGGAAUCAAAAGCACUAAUCCCUCUUGUCCUUCGGAGAAAGUCCAAAUGUUUUAACCUUCCAAGGAUGGGACCCUACUUAAUCCUCCAGACUCCUACUGAGUGACCUCAGACGGUGGACCUCUGUCGGCCUUGGUUCCUGAGUGACUCUAUGGAAAAGAAAUAGCUCCACAGGCCUGAAGUGUCCCCUCCUGACUUGUCAUGUUGGAUAUGUAAUGUGGACCAUAAAUAAAUAAGCCAUUUUUCUUACACUCCUGAAUUCAGGACUUGUGUGGUACAGCAGCUUUGCCUCGCCUGACCCUCAGCCCUUCUGCAGCUAUACUGCAGCAUCACCUAGAGCAGUAUUUUCAACACGUAAGCACUCAAGUGCUAUCUUCACAAUUUUUUUUUUUUGCCUACCUAAAUACUAUUUUUUAUUUAAAUCAAUUUAACUUUAUUUAACUAAAAACGUUUACUUUAAAAUAAAACUAUAUAUUCCUAUUGUUAGUAAGUAGAGAAUAAGAGUAAAAUCCAUAAAUCUUCAAAUAAGUUGUUUAUUUAUGGACAUUAACAAUUCUGAUGUACCACCAGUAUAAAUCUAACACAACUUUAGAAAUACU